GCACCCUCCUCCCUCGGACGCGCCCCUCGCGAUUCCCCGCCCUCCCCUUGCUUGGGGGCGUAAAGCCAUUCCCACGCGGCUGCUCCGCGCCUGGGCGCCACACAACUUUCCUCAACCCUGUGCCAACUUCCAGGGCACCGCCUUUGCCAACACCUCAGCAGGGUACCUUUUACAACCCCCACAGUAAAAAGCAAGACACCGGGGUCCUACCAGCGCGACUCUUGAUGACGUCGGUGAAUCCGUCUCCAGCCGCAUCGUCCCCGGUCUCCUCCAGACCCCACGGUUGAGCCAUAGCCUCGCGUUAGGUGCCCAGCUGCCCCACGUCCCAAACUUGGGCAUGCAGGUGGGUUCGCCCGGUCUGCUUGAUGCUCUCCAAAGCAGAAACUGAGCACAGUCCAGAACAUAAACAGAAGGGAGAACAUACACUCGAAGAAAAUGAAUUAAAGAAGAACUGGACCAGUGUAUAAAGGAAAGUAUGGGCAAAAUGUCGGUGUGUUUAGUAUGAAAAGUUAUCCAAGAGACAA